rnacentral:rRNA from 1 species
AGAGUUUGAUCCUGGCUCAGGAUGAACGCUGGCGGCGUGCCUAACACAUGCAAGUCGAACGGACUCGGAUUGAAACCUAGUGAUUUCCGAGUUAGUGGCGGACGGGUGAGUAACGCGUGGAUAACCUGCCGUAUGCAGGGGGAUAACAGUUGGAAACAGCUGCUAAUACCGCAUAAGCGCACAAUACCGCAUGGUACUGUGUGAAAAGAUUUAUCGGCAUACGAUGGAUCCGCGUCCGAUUAGCCAGUUGGCGGGGUAACGGCCCACCAAAGCGACGAUCGGUAGCCGGCCUGAGAGGGCGGACGGCCACAUUGGGACUGAGACACGGCCCAAACUCCUACGGGAGGCAGCAGUGGGGAAUAUUGCACAAUGGGGGAAACCCUGAUGCAGCGACGCCGCGUGAGUGAAGAAGUAUCUCGGUAUGUAAAGCUCUAUCAGCAGGGAAGAAAAUGACGGUACCUGACUAAGAGGCCCCGGCUAACUACGUG